CCAAAAAAGGAGCCUAGUACGGUGGUUUUUUGUGUGCAAUUGUGCGUCAACUUGUGAACAGUGUUUGCGGACUUUCAAAAUAAUUUUUGUCCUAUUGCAUUUUUUGAAUGUUUUUCAUCGCUUUUUUCGUUUAUGAA
ensembl:ncRNA F29F11.12 ncRNA